rnacentral:tRNA from 1 species
AAGUGAGUAGUUUAAAGUGUAAAAACGAUAGGUUGUGGUUCUAUAGAUAGAAUUAUUGACUCUCAUUUA